rnacentral:misc_RNA from 1 species
AACGCACGAGACCUGCGGACCUGCGGAGGGAUCAUUACUGAAUUGAUUUUGGGGAUGUUGCUGGUCUCUUGAGGCAAUGGUGCACUCCCUCAAACAUUUCACAAUUUCCAUCUUACCCAUGUGCACAUCCUGUAGGUGGUCUCCCAACCCACCCUCCAAGGAAAGGGGGGGAGUGUGUGGGUCUGGUCUCCUAUGUAUUUCCUUGCCAACAUCACACGUUUUGGCUGAAUGAAUCCUGUG